AACGCACGAGACCUGCGGACCUGCGGAGGGAUCAUUAAUGAGAAGCUGCCCCUCGUGGGUAGACCUCCCACCCUCUGUGAACUUACCUUUGUUGCUUUGGCAGGCCCGUCCUCUGGACCGCCGGCUUCGGCUGGCCCGUGCCUGCCAGAGGAUUCCAAACCCUGUCUGUCAGUGUUGUCUGAGUCUAUAUGAAAUCGUUAAAACUUUUAACAAUGGAUCUCUAGAUCGGAAGAGCACGCG
rnacentral:misc_RNA from 1 species